rnacentral:rRNA from 1 species
AUGAUAGCUUUGCUUCUGAAGAGUGCUGAGCUGAAGGAAAAAAAGGUCGAGGGAUUGGAGGCGCUCAGAUCUAGUGUUGACUUAGAUCACUCCGAUGGAGAACAAGAAACUGAUGAAGAAGAUGGCAAUCAGGUUGUGAUUUUGAGGUCAAAACCAGGCACAAGCAGCUCAAUGGGUGGCCCUAUGGACAAAUUCUGCAAGCCUGGUAUAGAAGAAACUGUCAAGAGGAAGCAAAAAAGAAAUUGUGAAUCCGAAAAGGUUCAGUCGAAGGUGUCAACUCAGCAAAGACAACAGAGGAGGGAUAGAGCUUGUGGAUAUAUAUGUCAAUUUUUCUAUGAAGCUAGCAUCCCACAUAACACCGUCACACUUCCUAGCUUUGCAUGUAUGCUUCAGGCCAUUGGAGAUGUUGGCACAAACUUCGAUGGGCCUACUGCAUAUGAGAUGAGUGGACCAUUCUUGCAGAAAAGGAAGAAGAAGGUGUUAGAUUCAUUCAAACCACAUAAGCAAGCAUGGGAGCACACAGGUUGUACCGUAAUGACAGAUGCAUGGACAGAUAAAAAGGGCAGGGGAGUAAUGAACCUAGUUGUGCAUAGUUCUCAAGGAGUCAUAUUCUUGAAUUCAGUUGAUUGUUCAUCUGUCCAAAAAAAUGGCAAAUACAUCUUUGACCUCGUUGAUAAUUGCAUUGAAGAUAUAGGGGCAGACAAAGUCGUUCAAGUGGUGACCGACAAUGCUAGUGUCAAUGUAGCAGCAGCAAGUCUAAUGAAAGCAAAGCGACCUUCCAUUUUUUGGAAUGGAUGUGCAGCCCAUUGUAUUGAUCUCAUGUUGGAGGACAUAGGGAAGCUUGGAUCGGUUGACAAAAUAAUUGCCCAAGCAAGACAAGUAACGGUGUUCUUGUAUGCUCACACAAGGGUGUUAGCUCUGAUGAGGAAAACACUUGGGAAAGACUUGGUACGGUCAGGUGUUACUAGGUUUGCCACGGCUUAUCUCAAUCUUAAAAGCUUGCAAGACAACAAGAAGGAAAUGCUUAAACUAUUCAGAUCAGAUGAGCUACAUGAAAUGGGUUACUUAGAGAAGGACAAGGGGAAGAUGGCUCACAAAACGGUGCAAUCGGAAGCCUUCUGGAAAGGUGUUGGCGUUGCUGUCAACUACUUUGAGCCAAUGGCUAAUGUGCUAAGAAGAAUGGAUAGUGAUGUGCCCGCAAUGGGAUUCUUAUAUGGUUGUAUGUUGGAUGCAAAAAAGGAAAUUGCUGCGAGUUUUGAUAAUGAUGAGAGUCGCUUCAAAUGUGUUAUUGAUAUCAUUGACAAGAGAUGGGACAGCAAACUCAAGUCGCCACUACAUUUGGCUGGGUACUUUCUGAACCCCUACUAUUAUUAUCCAAACAAGGUUGUGAUAGAGAGGGAUGGAUCAUUUAGAGCAGCCGUGGUCCAUUGCAUCACAAGGAUGAUUGAAGAUCAAAAAACUCAAGAUGAGCUUAUUGAUGAACUCGACAAAUACGAGGCGGAGGAAGAUUCAUUUGGAAUGGACAUUGCUGUACGACAGAGAAAAAGGAAAAACUUUUCUCCAGCAAAAUGGUGGCUGAAUUAUGGCACAUGUGCACCCCUGUUGAAGGACUUGGCAAUGAAGAUUUUGAGUUUGACAUGUAGCUCCUCAGCUUGUGAGAGAAAUUGGUCAGCAUUUGAACAAGUUCAUACAAAGAAACGCAGCAGGCUACUCCAUGAUAGGAUGAGUGAUCUUGUAUUUAUCAAGUUCAACUCUAGGAUGAAGCAUAAGAGAGAGAACAAGAGUAGAGACCCAAUAGAGAAGACAAUCGUUGAUGUUCUUGAGGACGAGGAUAAUGAGUUCAUCACCGGCAUUGUUGGAAAUGAUAAUGUUGUUGAACAUGUUGAUCAAACUCAACAAGAGAGAGCUUCAACAUCACAAGAACAAGGGAAAAAGAAGAAGAGGCCUACUGCGCCCCCUAGAAAGAAGAGGAAGAAGAGCUUGCAAUCUCUCCUUAAUAGUGUCGAUGAGGAAGCUAUACUUUCUGCCUCUUCCAAUUCUUCUUCGUCGGAAUCAGAAGAUGAGUCUCCCUCGGCCCUUGCUGACUCGGAUUAA